GACAGGCCGUAAACACGCACUAUCAAAAUGCGACAAACAAUGCAUUACACAGUACAGUAAUGCAUUUUCAGCUUAGAGUGACGUAAACACCUAUAACAAAGAAAACGGCACUUAUCAGACCAAAGCAAAAUAAGCUAUCGAUUCAAACCAGACGAAGCACGUGAAAAAGGAAGGGUACCCGUAUAAAUACGGACGAAGCGCCUGACGCAUAGCAAUGGCUACCUGGUAAAGCUUAACUGCUAAGCUUACGACUCGAACCAAACUACUGUAGCUGUAUCGUCUAUCAUUCGACCUAAAUUGUGUCUCAUAUUACAAUGGACCAACUUUGUUUCGAUUUGGAUGUGCGGCCUUAAACUUUUCUCUCCCCUUGAAUUUCGAGUCUCAAAUUUCAGGUGCUGCUUAGAUUCGGGAAAUUUUUUUUUUCCUUUAUUUCGAGUCUCAUUUUUCAGGUGCGGCUUAGAUUCGAGUGCGGCUUCGAUUCGAGUAAAUACGUGGUUGUACAGAUCAUUAUAACUUCAUAACUUGGAGCAGAUACAAUAUAAAUACAGCACCCACCUUGAAGGCACGACAAGAAGUCUGCAGGUGCAGACACAGAACCAGCAGUUCCAGAAGGGACAAAACAGGGAAAUGAAGAGGAAGCACGUGAAGCAAGUGAUGUUUCCACAGUGGCAACAUCCUCUGAAGAGGAGUAUGAGCCGCCUCUCUUCCGAGCAGCCAGCGAGCAUGAGCUUCCUCCAGAGUUCCGACUUGUACAGAAGCUUGUCAAGAAU